rnacentral:misc_RNA from 1 species
CAACCCUCAGGCCCUGCCUGGCGUUGGAGCCCUGCGCACCGCAGGCUCCCAAAGACAUCGGCGGGCGCGCCCCGGAACCGAGCGCAGUAAUGCUUCUCGUUCUGGUCCGCGGCGCGCUCCGGCCGUAAAACCCCCCUAUUUUACGU